CCAUCUCCCCCUGGGGCUGACGAGGUCCCUGCCCAGCACCUCCGGUCAGCUGGCCCCCACGACGCGAUGUGCCAGAGCAGUGCCCGGGCCCGGCCCCCGCUGAUGCACCACCCUGACCCCCGCCCGUCUCUCCCCCAGGGUGAACCAGCUGACGAUGCCGCCCGCAUCUGUGAAAGUCUGAGGUGGUGCCAUUGGGACAAUGAAGAACCCACACUCCCACCUCGUCUGGGAGGUGUCCUACAGCGUCCGGGACCGGCUGGGCUGCCCCAAAGCUUUCUGUGUGAUCCACGGCUAGGCACCCACCCUCUCUGGCCCAGGCCUGCUGAGUGGCCCUGGCAUCAAGAAGAGGCUGUGUCCUCAGUUACCCUGGAAGGAUGUGUGUGUUGGAGCCACACGGUUGGACAGAUUCCCAGCCCUAGGUUUGGACCGCAGGGCCCCUGGGGCCAAGGAAGAAGACAGCCCCAAGUGGGUGUCCGGGGAGAGCCUGGCCUGCCACCAGCUUAUGUGAUCUUGGGCAAGUCCCUGCCCUCCCUGGAACGAAGGGCCAGGGGGCUGGACUUUCCCACACAACUUUCUGGGCAAAGCACGAUCUGCAGCUUUGAAGACUCAACAGACCCUGGACCAUACAGAGAGCAGGUGGCCCAGGCCUCAGGGCGGCAGUCCCGGCUUUGAGACUCACGCGAGGGCCUGGUGUGCAGGGACCACUGCUCAGCUGGGCCUCGGACCUUGGGGAUAUUGGACUCAACGUGGCAAAUGAAGCUGGGCACCCAAGUCUCUGGGUACUCCCUGGAGGACACUGUCUCGGGUUGGCUCCCAGCCUGGAGGUCCCAGAUGGGGACUGUUCUGACAAGCUGGCAUCACCAGGGGUGAAGGCCCUGGCUGCAGCUGUACACCACCUGUGCCCCCAGGCUCAAGGUCUCUGGGAGGUGCACACCAGCCCACCUCUGCAGGGCUUCUCUCCCUGCCACCCACCCCCCAAGCCAGGAACCCACUCCUUCCCCGAGGCUGAGCUGAGCCUUUUCCAGGGGCAGGGCCCAGGAGACCAUUCCCAGAAUCCAUGGGGCAGUAGCCAGGGCUCUGGCUGCUGGAGGAAGCAGCUAUCCACAAAGCUUCCUGCCCCAGAGCUGAGGCUGAGGCCCCGGGAGAGGCCGGCCCCUACCCAAACACUGACUGCUGGCAUUCCACCAAGUGACCCCGGGGGCCAGGCCUUCGAUCACCCACCUCCCAUCCAUGCACACACCAGGAUGCAGCUGCCAACUUCACACCAGCCCCAACCCGCUUUGGGGGAGCUUAGCCCCUGCGUCACCCACUCCCUGCACUUCUGCUGCAAUCAAAGUGGUUCUGGUGCGGGGGGCGGGGCUUGUGGCCAAUAGGAGACCCCCAAGAGCCAGCUUGGACAAUGCUCUUCUUGCCCCUUAGUUACUGGCUGGCUGUGGCUUCAGUGGUGUGUAAGCUAGUGGAAUACUCACCCACCAAGCUCUGGGGUACCCCAAGGGCCUGACAAGAGGAUGGGGUGGGGGUGGUAUCCUCCAAAGACCAGCCUCCACCCCCACUCCAGCCUCAGCGGGGCCCCAGCGAUGUUUUCUUGUUGUACAAGAACCAGGUCCGAGUGUUGCCUCCUCUUCCUUCCGGAAGCCAAACUGCUCCUUUAUUUUUUAGAGCUGCUGAUUGUGAAUCUCAGAGUCUUAAGAGAGAAACCAAAUAUAUUCCUCUUGUAAAUGAAGAAAUAAACCUAUUUAAAUCA
rnacentral:sRNA from 1 species